AGGAUGGAGGGCGGGAGCUGCUCGCUACGGCGGUGCCGGAGGAGCAGCGGAAGGAAGCUGGGAGGGGUCCCUGGGGAGGGUCUUCGGGCCCGGCCAGUGCCUGGUCCCUGAGGGGAGCGGGGUCGGGUGCAGGGGCAGUAGGUGCCCUGGGCUGUGCCCUGUGUUUUACGACUUCAUGCCGGGUAGGUCCCACUCACACCGUCCUUAGCAGCGGCCUUUGGGGUGUGGCUGGGUGUACGCGAUCCCUCACCUGCCCCCAGCCGCCCUCCAGCCCCACCAGCGGAACGCAGCUUUCUUCCAAGGCUGUGUGACAGUCCCCCAGUCCAGGAGCAUGUCACUGGGCUUCGCUCUUUUCCUCUCCUCAGCUGGCUGAAAGGGCUGGACUUCUCCUGAGGCUACUGGGAGGAAGCCAUCACCUGCUAUUUGAAAGUCAUCGACCUGGAUCCACAGAGGGCAGUACUGGCAGGCAGAAGCUUUCCUCUCUGUGGCCAUUGAGCACAAGACCUGGAAACUGCUGCCCUACCUGUGCUGGACCAGGACCUGCCUGUGCCUGAGGAGGAUGGAGAGCACGAGGGAGGAUGCUGCUCUACAUCUGUGGCUCAACCCCAUGGAUGGUUGUCCCCAGGUCCCCUGUUGUGACACUCCCUAGAAGCUGAAUGGACGCUGGCCCAGCCAAAGCCUGUGAGGUGUGAUCAGCAGAAGGAUGUACAAGAGACUCAACAGCUCAUAGCACCAACUGUCAGC